GCAGAAAAUGCAUACAGUUUGUGCUUAUACACUGCUAUGCUUAUGUAAAUAGGUAACCGACAAGUUCGGGCAAUGGUUGAAAGUGAAGAACAGUCGUAAUGAGGAGGGAUAUGUGCCUCAGAAUGUUCUAGAGCCUGUCAAUGGACAAAAGCCAACACAAAAUAUGGUUCUCCAUCUCUAGAUAUGAAUUCUAGACCUGAGGAAGUUAAAGCCUGGUUAAAAUACAAAGGCUUUUCUAAAAUGACAAUACAGAAUCUUGGGGUGUUCAAUGGAGCAAUGUUGCUGGGAAUGAAACGGGAUGAUAUGAGAGCAAUAUGUCCUGAGGAAGGAGGUUGAGUCUACUUCCAACUGCAGAGCGUCAGAUCCACCAUUGCGGUAAUGCAGCUCCAUUUGUUUAAAGUAAACUCUCACAUCUUUUACAAAUUCAGUUAUUUAUAAAGCGCUUUUCAUUGAGGUGAAGUGAUUCACAGUAUUCAGUGUUUCAAAUGUUUUUAGUGUCUGAGGCAGAGCACACAAAUGUCAUCGUUGUCCAUUUCCUUUGCAGCUUGCCACUGAGGCUUAAUACAGUCAGUAUGGUGACCGCUGAUAAUCUGAGGACAUUGGUGCAUUUUGAUAUAAAGAAUCUGAAUGUGUCUGGACC